rnacentral:rRNA from 1 species
CCAGACUCCUACGGGAGGCAGCAGUCGGGAAUAUUGCGCAAUGGAGGAAACUCUGACGCAGUGACGCCGCGUGCAGGAAGAAGGUUUUCGGAUUGUAAACUGCUUUAGACAGGGAAGAAAAAAGACAGUACCUGUAGAAUAAGCUCCGGCUAACUACGUGCCAGCAGCCGCGGUAAUACGUAGGUGGCGAGCGUUGUCCGGAUUUACUGGGCGUAAAGGGAGCGUAGGCGGACUUUUAAGUGAGAUGUGAAAUACUCGGGCUCAACUUGAGUGCUGCAUUUCAAACUGGAAGUCUAGAGUGCAGGAGAGGAGAAUGGAAUUCCUAGUGUAGCGGUGAAAUGCGUAGAGAUUAGGAAGAACACCAGUGGCGAAGGCGAUUCUCUGGACUGUAACUGACGCUGAGGCUCGAAAGCGUGGGGAGCAAACAGGAUUAGAUACCCCAGUA